UAGUUCGUUCUAAUACCAUGCUAAUGACUUUCUAGAGUAUCUAAUUGAGGUGCUUAUCAUAAUUAUUAUGUGGCUAGAUCAGAUUAAUUAUCUUUGUCACUAUUAUUAUUUCAUAUAUGUUUUAUGUGACACUUAUCCCUGUAUGAAAGAGAUAGAUAUAUGUUCUCAAUUAUACAUGCAAUGAUAGAUGCUCAAUCUCAUAUUCUAUUCUGUAAUCAAUAUUGAUGAUUGUUAAUCCC
rnacentral:lncRNA from 1 species